AGUGAACGCUGGCGGUAGGCCUAACACAUGCAAGUCGAACGGCAGCACAGUAAGAGCUUGCUCUUACGGGUGGCGAGUGGCGGACGGGUGAGGAAUACAUCGGAAUCUACUUUUUCGUGGGGGAUAACGUAGGGAAACUUACGCUAAUACCGCAUACGACCUACGGGUGAAAGCAGGGGAUCUUCGGACCUUGCGCGAUUGAAUGAGCCGAUGUCGGAUUAGCUAGUUGGCGGGGUAAAGGCCCACCAAGGCGACGAUCCGUAGCUGGUCUGAGAGGAUGAUCAGCCACACUGGAACUGGGACACGGUCCAGAUUCCUACGGGAGGCAGCAGUGGGGAAUAUUCGACAAUGGGCGCAAGCCUGAUCCAGCAAUACCGCGUGGUUGAAGAAGGCCUUCGGGUGGUAAAGCCCUUUUGUUGGGAAAGAAAAGCAGCAGGUUAACACCCCGCUGUUCUGACGGUACCCAACGAAUAAGCACCGGCUAACUUCGUG
rnacentral:rRNA from 1 species